GUAUUUGCGUUAUUAAUAGAAGAAGCAUAUACAUACACAUGAAAGUAUCAAAUAUUAAAUAUAACUUACAAUCGAGAAACGUUAGAAAUGAAAGUCUGCGGUAAACUAGCUGAAGCAAGACAAGAUACACAAUUUUGCGAACAUUGUCAAUUUGAAAAUGUUAAAACAAAAGCAAAUGGAAUAUGUCGGGACUGUGAGGAAUAUAUGUGCGACACCUGUUUUCGUCACCAUCUCACGGGUAAAAGGAAUAGAAAUCAUGAAUUGAUUGAUAUGAAUGACCCAGAUAUUGCUACUAGGAAAAGUGCAGAAGAAGUAGAGAAAUGUAAACAACACGAUAAUGAGACAAUCAAAUUCUAUUGUCGUAAACACGAAAUUGUUGGGUGUGGUGACUGCAUUAUAUUGGAGCAUAGUACAUGUAAACCCGCAUACAUAAAGGAUUUAUCGAAAAACGUUCAGGAAACCGCAGAUUUUAUCAAGCUGAAGAGGAGAAUUGAGCAAAUUGAGCGCGAGAACAAGGCAAACUAUGAGAACGUUCAAAAGAAUCGAAAAGACUCUAAAAGGGUGCACGAAGAGGUUCUCACUAAAAUAAGAAAGUUUAGAACAGAUAUCAAUAUUUAUCUGGAUAAGGCAGAAGCAGCUGUUAUAUCUGAAAUGAAACAACUUGUGUCCGACAACGACAAACUCCUAGAGCAGCUAGAAAACGAUUGUGAAAAAACAUUUGUCUGAAAUUGAAGGUUUAAAACAGAAACUUGACCCAACUGUCCAUAGAGAAAAUGCACUGUUUAUACAAACAGUACGUAGCAAAGCAAGUGUUCUGGAAAUUGAACACGAGCUGUCAAAAACUGUACAAUCAGUAUGCGAAAUCAAGGGUUAUGAAUUUGUUCCUUAUGAAAAACUAUCGGGUAUCAUCAAAUCAAAAAAGAAAUUUGGCAAAAUCAAUAUUUCGAAUAUAAAUGAACCUAAGCAAGAUGAAACCACAAAUUUGGAAAUGAACUUUGAUUCAUUAACAUUCGUGGAACCAGAGAAGCCGAAGAAGCCAGUACAACAGGAAACAGAUAAAGAAACUGGUGUGAGACCGCCGCCUGUUUUUGCCGGUGCCUGUGUACAAGCAACAAACCCAUUUGGGAACGUCUGCUCAGCUUGGUCAGUUCACAAAUAUUUUGUUAGAAAGUCUGCAAAGCCAUCGACUUGAAUACAUUGGUUAUUUCCUUGUACCAACAAUAUGGAAAUAAAAUUCUUUUAUAAAUUU
rnacentral:lncRNA from 1 species